UUUUCGAGAAUACAUUUCCUGGGUAAGCAGGUAUUUUUCAAAGGCAGCUUUCAUUUCGGCCAUCUCACCUUUAAGUUUCUCAAUGUCUUCAGUGUUACUCUCGAUUUGUUCUGCGUUAUAAUUAACAGAGGAGAGAAUAUCUGAAGUUUUCUUGUGGAGGUCUGUUAUUUUGCUAUUCAUUAAGUCAAUUCUGCUCACUAUUUGUGAUGUUUGCUCUCUCAACGAGUCCGCAAUGAAAGCGUAAAGCUCGGCCUUACCCGGGUUGGUCACCAUUGCGGACAUCUUGGUCUGUAUGGCCGGCGAGUUCGGUGGCCUCUCGCAGCCAGACCGGGCUCUUGUCUGCACGCCGUCUUCAGCAUGUGGAGGUUCAGGUUUUGCUGUAGUGUCAGCAAGCUGUCUACCCUUAGAAUUUUUCUUGGAAGACAAUAUUUCUAUUCAGUUUACUGGGAUUUGGGGAGAGCUACAAAUAAGCGACUCACCAUGAACGCAGCGCCAAAGGAUAUUAAACAUUCCACU